GAUGAACGCUGGCGGCGUGCCUAAUACAUGCAAGUCGAGCGAACGGACGAGAAGCUUGCUUCUCUGAUGUUAGCGGCGGACGGGUGAGUAACACGUGGAUAACCUACCUAUAAGACUGGGAUAACUUCGGGAAACCGGAGCUAAUACCGGAUAAUAUUUUGAACCGCAUGGUUCAAAAGUGAAAGACGGUCUUGCUGUCACUUAUAGAUGGAACCGCGCUGCAUUAGCUAGUUGGUAAGGUAACGGCUUACCAAGGCAACGAUGCAUAGCCGACCUGAGAGGGUGAUCGGCCACACUGGAACUGAGACACGGUCCAGACUCCUACGGGAGGCAGCAGUAGGGAAUCUUCCGCAAUGGGCGAAAGCCUGACGGAGCAACGCCGCGUGAGUGAUGAAGGUCUUCGGAUCGUAAAACUCUGUUAUUAUGGAAGAACAUAUGUGUAAGUAACUGUGCACAUCUUGACGGUACCUAAUCAGAAAGCCACGGCUAACUACGUG
rnacentral:rRNA from 1 species